AUUCAAAGUGCACUUACAUGAAAAUCCGUGAAUGAAAAUGCUUCGUAAAAUCGUUGUUUCUGCACGAAAAUGAAUGUUUUUUACACCGUUCGACGGGAAAUUUAAUUCUCUUCAAGAAAUGUUCUAUUCAACAUUUACGUAAAUGCACUCAUUUCUAUUAAAAAGUCGAAAAACUGAAUUUCUCCCAUAUAACCAAUGCAUUUGAUCCCCUCUAUACGUCACACAGUAGCCGGCGAUGGUAGCGAUCCUAGUGAGCGCGAAAGUGUCAAUUGAUAAGGAACAGUGAUGUGCAGAUUCGAGUCUGGGACAUCUGGGUUUUAUUUCACAAUCACAAUUAGAUAAGUAUUUGUCAACGUCUUUCUUGGUGUGUUUCUGCGUGAAUUUUUUGUCUGCUAUGGUGUGUUAUUUCAGUUUUUCAAAGUCCAUAGAUGUGAAGUGGAAACUAGUGUUUAGUGUAGUGUGUAUUGUUCAGUUCGAUUCAAAUUUGAGUUUAGUUUUUAGAUCAACGCUUUUUUAAAAUGUGUUUGGUUCGGAGAAUUAUUUUAUGUCAAGUUCGCGUAAUAUUGUUAUUAGUGCAUUCUCAAUGAUUUGCAUAUGUCUAUGCAAGUUUAGUUCUUUCCAGAAUUUUGAAUUUUGCAGAAAGUUUUUUAGAUCAAAGAGGAACCAGAACUUGAAGCAGGAACCUCAAAUGGUCUUAAAAGGAAGUUAUGUGUACACAUCACUCGCUGCGACAAUAUAAUAAAGAAACGGAGGUUGCUCUAAGGAAGAUUUCACUAUGGUAUUGUUCUGAUUUUUAUCAUUUUUCUGAUUUUUAUCAUUUUAUAUUUUUAUUUUAUAACUUUUUUUUCCUAUUUUUUAUUAUUUUCAAUCUAUUCCGAUUUUUAUCGUUUUGUAUUUCCGUUUUGUUCUAAUUUUAUUGUUGAAAUUGAUUCAAUUUUAUCGUUUUUAUUUUCUGCUUUAUUAUUUCAAAUUUUUUUUUUUUAAUUUUUAAAGUACCUACCCCCGGAGGGAUGUUAUGAUUAAGGGAUCGAUUAAAGGAUGUUACAGAUCAUUUUUACUUUACAAUUCGAUUAUUAUAAAUCAUUUUAUGCAAUUACAUCAUUUUACAUCAUAUCAUUUUAUGCUCAUUUUACGAUUAUAAUUACAUCAUUUUACACCAUAUUAUACAAUUUUUAAACGUUGAUCUUUAAGCUUACCUAUUUAAUUUUAACCUUUGUAUUUUUUAUUUCACAACAAUCAUUUCUUUUUUUGCAAUUUCCUGCUUUUAUUCCGAUUUUUACCUAUUCAAUUUUAGUAUAAAA